AAUGGGGGCAACCCUGACGCAGCAACGCCGCGUGAGUGAUGAAGGCUUUCGGGUCGUAAAGCUCUGUCGGGCGGGAAGAAAUGGUGUUGGUUAAUAUCCAGCAUUUUGACGGUACCGCCAAAGGAAGCACCGGCUAACUCCGUGCCAGCAGCCGCGGUAAUACGGGGGGUGCAAGCGUUAUUCGGAAUUAUUGGGCGUAAAGGGUGCGUAGGCGGUUUUGUAAGUCAGAUGUGAAAUACCGGGGCUUAACUUCGGAACUGCAUUUGAUACUGCGAGACUUGAGUAUGGGAGAGGAGAGCGGAAUUCCUGGUGUAGAGGUGAAAUUCGUAGAUAUCAGGAGGAACACCGGUGGCGAAGGCGGCUCUCUGGACCAAUACUGACGCUGAGGCACGAAGGCGUGGGGAGCAAA
rnacentral:rRNA from 1 species